GAUGAACGCUGGCGGCGUGCCUAAUACAUGCAAGUCGAGCGAACGGACGAGAAGCUUGCUUCUCUGAUGUUAGCGGCGGACGGGUGAGUAACACGUGGAUAACCUACCUAUAAGACUGGGAUAACUUCGGGAAACCGGAGCUAAUACCGGAUAAUAUUUUGAACCGCAUGGUUCAAAAGUGAAAGACGGUCUUGCUGUCACUUAUAGAUGGAUCCGCGCUGCAUUAGCUAGUUGGUAAGGUAACGGCUUACCAAGGCAACGAUGCAUGGCCGACCUGAGAGGGUGAUCGGCCACACUGGAACUGAGACACGGUCCAGACUCCUACGGGAGGCAGCAGUAGGGAAUCUUCCGCAAUGGGCGAAAGCCUGACGGAGCAACGCCGCGUGAGUGAUGAAGGUCUUCGGAUCGUAAAGCUCUGUUAUUAGGGAAGAACAUAUGUGUAAGUAACUGUGCACAUCUUGACGGUACCUAAUCAGAAAGCCACGGCUAACUACGUG
rnacentral:rRNA from 1 species